UACGUAGGGGGCAAGCGUUGUCCGGAAUCAUUGGGCGUAAAGAGCGCGUAGGCGGCCCUAGUAAGUCCGCUCUGAAAGUCAGAGGCUCAACCUCUGAAUGCGGGUGGAUAACUGCUGGGCUAGAGUCCGGAAGAGGCGAGUGGAAUUCCUGGUGUAAGCGGUGAAAUACGCAGAUAUCAGGAGGAACACCGGUGGCGAAGGCGGCCGGCUGGGGGUGACCUGACGCUGAGGCGCGAGAGCGUGGGGAGCGAACCGG
rnacentral:rRNA from 1 species